AUUGAACGCUGGCGGCAGGCCUAACACAUGCAAGUCGAGCGAGCGGCGGACGGGUGAGUAAUGUCUGGGAAACUGCCUGAUGGCGGGGGAUAACUACUGGAAACGGUAGCUAAUACCGCAUACCAUCAGAUGUGCCUAGUUGGGAUUCGCUAGUAGGUGGGGUAACGGCUAACCUAGGCGACGAUCCCUAGCUGGUCUGAGCGGAUGACCAGCCACACUGGAACGGAGACACGGGCCAGACUCCUACGGGAGGCAGCAGUAGGGAAUAUUGCACAAUGGGCGCAAGCCUGAUGCAGCCAUGCCGCGUGUGUGAAGAAGGCCUUCGGGUUGUAAAGCACUUUCAUCGGGGAGGCGUUACCCGCAGAAGAAGCACCGACUAACUCCGUGCCAGCAGCCGCGGUAAUUC
rnacentral:rRNA from 1 species